rnacentral:rRNA from 1 species
UACGGGGGGUGCAAACGUUGCUCGGAAUUAUUGGGCGUAAAGCGCACGUAGGCGGUCCUGUAAGUCGGGUGUGAAAGCCCGGGGCUUAACCCCGGAAGUGCACUCGAAACUGUAGGGCUUGAGUAUGGAAGAGGGUCUCGGAAUUCCCGGUGUAGAGGUGAAAUUCGUAGAUAUUGGGAAGAACACCGGUGGCGAAGGCGGCGCUCUGGACCGAGACUGACGCUGAGGCGCGAAAGCGUGGGGAGCAAACAGG